UGAGGAAUAUUGGUCAAUGGGUGCAAGCCUGAACCAGCCAUCCCGCGUGAAGGACGACUGCCCUAUGGGUUGUAAACUUCUUUUGUAUAGGGAUAAACCUACCCUCGUGAGGGUAGCUGAAGGUACUAUACGAAUAAGCACCGGCUAACUCCGUGCCAGCAGCCGCGGUAAUACGGAGGGUGCAAGCGUUAUCCGGAUUUAUUGGGUUUAAAGGGUCCGUAGGCGGCGAUAUAAGUCAGUGGUGAAAUAUUUCGGCUUAACCGAGAGACUGCCAUUGAUACUGUGUUGCUAGAAUAUGGUUGCUGUGAGUGGAAUGUGUGGUGUAGCGGUGAAAUGCUUAGAUAUCACACAGAAUAUCGAUUGCGAAGGCAGCUCACAAAGCCAUUAUUGACGCUGAGGCACGAAAGUGUGGGGAUCAAACA
rnacentral:rRNA from 1 species